UUAAAUUUUUGAAGUUAUUUUAGCUUUUUUGUUGGGUGAAAUCAUUAUAAAGAGUUUUUCCUUCUUUAAAAAUUAAUAGGAAUUAAAAAACUUUGAUUUAAAACCAGGAUUAGAUACCCUGUUAUUCUGAGUUAUAUUUAGACAGGGUAGUAAAAGUUGUUCUUCAAACCCAAAGAUUUUGGCGGCACUUUAUCCAAAUAGAGGAGCUUGCCCCUUAAUCGAUAGUCCCCGUUUUAUCUUUCCUCUGUUUGUAGAGCUUGUAUACCGCCGUUGUCAGAUUACUUCUAGAGAAUGUUUUCAAAUUAAAAGAUUUUUUUACUUCAGGUCAAGGUGCAGUUUAUAUAGAGGUGGAGGUGAGCUACAAUUUUCUUUACAAAUAUGGAUACUAAGCCUCGAAGCUGGUUGAAGGUGGAUUUAUUAGUAAAGUAAUUUAAGUAAA
rnacentral:rRNA from 1 species